CCGUCUCAGUUCGGAUCGCAGGCUGCAACCCGCCUGCGUGAAGUCGGAAUCGCUAGUAAUCGCGGAUCAGCAUGCCGCGGUGAAUACGUUCCCGGGCCUUGUACACACCGCCCGUCACACCAUGAGAGUCGGGAACACCCGAAGUCCGUAGCCUAACCGAAUCGGAGGGCGCGGCCGAAGGUGGGUUCGAUAAUUGGGGUGAAGUCGUAACAAGGUACC
rnacentral:rRNA from 1 species